rnacentral:rRNA from 1 species
CCUACGGGUGGCAGCAGUGAGGAAUAUUGGUCAAUGGGCGGAAGCCUGAACCAGCCAAGUAGCGUGCAGGAUGACGGCCCUAUGGGUUGUAAACUGCUUUUAUGCGGGGAUAAAGUGAGGGACGUGUCCUUCAUUGCAGGUACCGCAUGAAUAAGGAACGUCUAAUUCCGUGCCAGCAGCCGCGGUAAUACGGAAGGUACGGGCGUUAUCCGGAUUUAUUGGGUUGAAAGGGAGCGUAGGCCGUGGAUUAAGCGUGUUGUGAAAUUUCGACGCUCAACGUCUGAUUUGCAGCGCGAACUGGUUCACUUGAGUAUGCGCAAGGUAGGCGGAAUUCGUCGUGUAGCGGUGAAAUGCUUAGAUAUUACGAAGAACUCCGAUUGCGAAGGCAGCUUACGGGAGCAUAACUGACGCUGAAGCUCGAAAGUGCGGGUAUCGAACAGGAUUAGAUACCCUAGUAGUC